UUGAUGUGAUGACUAUCUUAGGACACCUUUGGAAUACUCAUGAAAACAAAAAAAUCAGAAAUGAUUUCUGAGCAAC
rnacentral:snoRNA from 1 species